AUCCUUUCGGUAGAAAGAACAUGAUGAUUGGUUUACUCACAUUACUUUGUGAGACGCGCCACCAGCUUACCUUGUUGCAAUGGUGCGUGAACUAUCUGAUC